rnacentral:lncRNA from 1 species
AUUUUGUCCACGCUAUUUCUCGUAAUUGGUCAGACCCAUGUUGAUGGAACUAUACCAUAAUGUGAACCGCCAUGUGAAGUUGUGCAAGAGACAUUGGAAUGGUAAACAAUGGCCGCCGUUACCAUGGAAACUACAAAAAUGUAAAAAAAAAUCCAAAUUUUAAAUCUUUCGUUGUAAGAGGCAAAGUCUUGAAAGUUUGAGUAAAUGUUGGCAGUGGUGCCCCGAGGUACCAACAGUACUUGGAAUUUUCAAAAUGGCUGCCAUUGCCAUGGAAACUGGACAAAAGUUUAACAUUGACCCUAUGGGAAAAUGCAUUUAAGCUGCAUUUUCUUUAAAAAUAUAACAACAAUUCCACGGAAAUCGUAAUUAGGAGUAUGUGCAUAGGGUCACAUGCAAUGCUGUACUGCUAACAUGUACUAGAAUAUUCUAGAAUAAAAAUAUGUAUUUUAUUUAAUGUGCUUUAAAAGAGAAAAUCGCCACCGACAGAACGAGAAACACUCAGAGUACAAAUUGCUGACAUUUCUGCACUUGCGUUAAAGUACAUAUCCGUGAAUGACACACCUGCUAAAAUUUACACAUUAGCUGAAAUCAAUCGAUAAACAUGUAAUUAAAUUGUACACGAUAAGUUACAUGUAUUGUGUGAUACGCGAGCUAUUGAAGAAUAAAUUGAACAGUUAAUACGCCGCUCCGUCAAUAUAUACACAUGUUGUCUGUCCAACGUCCCCUCUAAAAAGAAUAUUAAUAUGCUAAGUCCACGAUAAUAUACUUCAGUAUCACGUGACACCACCUUCCUACUCGCGCGCGUGUCUAAUUUUAGAUUUAAAAAGGAUUCCCAAACUAUGUAUAGAACUGAAACGUAUUCUAC